rnacentral:rRNA from 1 species
GCGAUUCCGGCUACGGAUGGUCAUGCGUCGCAUUAGCUAGUUGGCGGGGUAACGGCCCACCAAGGCGACGAUGCGUAGGGGUUCUGAGAGGAAGGUCCCCCACACUGGUACUGAGACACGGACCAGACUCCUACGGGAGGCAGCAGUGAGGAAUAUUGGUCAAUGGCCGCAGGGCUGAACCAGCCAAGUCGCGUGAGGGAUGACGGUCCUAUGGAUUGUAAACCUCUUUUGUCAGGGAGCAAAGGGCGCCACGUGUGGCGUUUUGCGAGUACCUGAAGAAAAAGCAUCGGCUAACUCCGUGCCAGCAGCCGCGGUAAUACGGAGGAUGCGAGCGUUAUCCGGAUUUAUUGGGUUUAAAGGGUGCGCAGGCGGAAUGUCAAGUCAGCGGUAAAAUUUCGGGGCUCAACCCCGUCGUGCCGUUGAAACUGGCGUUCUUGAGUGAGCGAGAAGUAUGCGGAAUGCGUGGUGUAGCGGUGAAAUGCAUAGAUAUCACGCAGAACUCCGAUUGCGAAGGCAGCAUACCGGCGCUCAACUGACGCUCAUGCACGAAAGCGUGGGUAUCGAACAGGAUUAGAUACCCUGGUAGUCCACGCAGUAAACGAUGAAUACUAACUGUCCGGGC